UUUGUCACCUUGGCCAGUGGCGAAACUAUAACAUCCGGGGCCUGUGGCAAAUUGAUGGGGCCCCAUCAGUAAAAAUCGUCACGUUAAAAAA